GCUGCUCCGUCGGCGCGCAACCUGCUCCGGGGGCGCAUCCACCGACCAGAGCACCAGACGGGACACCGGCCGCUCGUCUCCUCCAGCCCCCCCUCCCGACCGCCGGCGAUGAGCGGCGGCCUUCCGGGUUUCCACAAUGCGCCGGUGUCGAGGGCCGUGGUCGUCGCCGCCGCGCUCUUCUCCGUCCCCUUCGGCCUCCGCUCCCGCUUCCUCGACCUCGGCCUGUCCCACCAGAAUCUGUACGAAAAUCUGCGGAUAUGGAGGGUGAUUGCCUCGUUGUUCGCCUUCUCGUCGUCGCCUGAGCUUAUCUUUGGAGUGGCCUUGCUGUACUACUUCAGGGUGUUCGAGCGUCAGAUAGGUUCAAAUAAGUAUGCUGUAUUCAUAAUCUUCUCCAUGACGGUGUCUGUACUGCUUCAGAUCCUAGCUUUAGGUUAUCUGAAAGAUCCAUCUUUCAAUCCAUUAACAUCUGGACCAUAUGGCCUCAUAUUUGCAUCUUAUGUACCCUUCUUCUUUGACAUUCCCAUCUCAACAAAGUUUCGCAUAUUUGGACUGCAAUUAUGUGACAAGUCGUUCGUAUAUUUGGCAGGGCUCCAGCUUCUUUUCUCAUCUGGAAGACGUUCUGUUAUACCUGGACUGUCUGGUAUACUGGCUGGGCUUUUGUACCGUCUGAAUAUAUUUGGUAUCCGCAGGCUAAAGGUCCCAGAGUAUGCAACUUCACUGUUUUCGCGGUUGUCAUGGCCCUUCUCUAACAACUCUUAUCAAAGAUUGCCAAUUGCAACAACUGAUGAAAACAUUCCUGAUCUCCAGGCUCGUCAAAUGCAGGCACGUAUUUGCAAUAGAUUGAUUUUGUUGAGAGAUUAGCAGAUCACAGCAUUUAUAUUCUAAAGCAAUGCUCUAUUUUCUUGAAGAAGAAAAAAAUGCCUCAUUGAGUAUUUUAUUAUUCGUGAAUACAAUAAGAGUGCUCGAGGAAAUCCAGAUUUUACCGUUAUAAUAUCCCUGCAAAAUGUAUAUUUGGAAUAAGCUUAUGAUCCUAACAAGAUCAAGUGACUGUUUUUCUUAAAGACAACCUUUUUGUUUUGUCAAACAAGAUCAAGUGGUGUUAUAAUUAGUUUUUGUUCUUCAAUAAAGUUAGAUGGUCAUCAUUAAGAUGGAGCACAUUGGAUAUCCCUGAUUUAACCGACCCUUUUUCCUUGUCAAUU